AAAUUGAAGAGUUUGAUCAUGGCUCAGAUUGAACGCUGGCGGCAGGCCUAACACAUGCAAGUCGAACGGUAACAGGAAGCAGCUUGCUGCUUCGCUGACGAGUGGCGGACGGGUGAGUAAUGUCUGGGAAACUGCCUGAUGGAGGGGGAUAACUACUGGAAACGGUAGCUAAUACCGCAUAAUGUCGCAAGACCAAAGAGGGGGACCUUCGGGCCUCUUGCCAUCGGAUGUGCCCAGAUGGGAUUAGCUUGUUGGUGGGGUAAUGGCUCACC
rnacentral:rRNA from 1 species